AAGAUAAUUUGGAUUCUACUACAACUAUUGUUUAUCUUGAAGUAUUGCUGUAGUAUUCUAUGCAGAUUAAAUGACGUUUUUUUAGAAGGAUUGGACCGAAAAAUCCAUGGAGCUUAAAAGGAGAAAUACGACUACCUUGCUUCGAUGGGGAUGUAAUAAGAUUGUUGUGCAUAUUCCUCAUUGGGGAUACAUAAAAGUUGAUACAAAGACUUUUUGGAAAGUAAUGUGGAGGAAGUUUGGGCAAACGCAUAUUUGAAGACAUGCUAUUGACACAUCUUUUGUAAAGCAUAUAUAUUUUUGGUGUAUGACAAUAUAAUUUUUGGUGUAUGACAUGUUAGUGACACAUCUUUUG